AUGAUGCUUCUGGAAUACAUGAGCUCCGGUGGAAGGCCACCGGAGAACGAGUUGUGUGAAAGGUUGACACGCAGCAGGCCGGUGAGACCGGCAAGGUGCGGCGAGAUGCGACCUUCAAUCCCUCUAGAUGCCAGGGAGACUGCGGUGACGCCCCCCUCCCUGUCGCAGGUUAUGCCUUCCCAUUCGCAGCAGUCCGUGCCGUUUCUCCACGACACGGUGAGGCCGCCAUCUUGGGAUAACCCGGUGAGGAAUUGGAGGAGGGAGUGCUCCUCUUGCUCGGUGCAUGAGCGGGCAGGAGAGGCCAAGGAGAGCAGCAGCAGAAACAGCUGUAGCGUGACUAGGGCUGCAGAAUGCAUGGCUGGUGAUGCCUUCCCAGGGAGCCAAAGCUGGUGGUGGGAGAGGCACCAUGCAUAG
rnacentral:rRNA from 1 species